CCUACGGGAGACAGCAGUGGGGAAUAUUGCACAAUGGGGGAAACCCUGAUGCAGCGACGCCGCGUGAGUGAAGAAGUAUUUCGGUAUGUAAAGCUCUAUCAGCAGGGAAGAAAAUGACGGUACCUGAUUAAGAAGCCCCGGCUAACUACGUGCCAGCAGCCGCGGUAAUACGUAGGGGGCAAGCGUUAUCCGGAUUUACUGGGUGUAAAGGGAGCGUAGACGGUGAUGCAAGUCAGCGGUAAAAAUUCGGGGCUCAACCCCGUCGUGCCGUUGAAACUGAUGUUCUUGAGUGGGCGAGAAGUAUGCGGAAUGCGUGGUGUAGCGGUGAAAUGCAUAGAUAUCACGCAGAACUCCGAUUGCGAAGGCAGCAUACCGGCGCCCAACUGACGCUGAAGCACGAAAGCGUGGGUAUCGAACAGGAUUAGAUACCCGUGUAGUC
rnacentral:rRNA from 1 species